AACUUUGCGCAGUGCCAAUAUUGUAGCCGAUGAGGUCUACCCGAGGCGCGAUUAUUGCUAAUUGAAAACACUGUUGAGAAAAUGAAAUUAUACAAAUAUAGGUUGGCUUCAGACAGC
rnacentral:snRNA from 1 species